CACCGUUACAAUAUGAACCUGGUCAAAGUCACUCACAUUUUUUACAUUUCUCAUUUUGCUGCUUCCAACACAUCAGCUUCAAGGACUAAAUGUUCAUUUGCUGUCUAAUGUAUCCAACCCACUGAAUGGUGCCAAUGUAAAGAAAUAAUCAAUAGUAAUUACCAAUUCUCCUGUCAGUGGGCAGUGUUAUGGUUGAUUAGUGUAUGCUACUUGUUUAAGAACAAAACUCAACUCCCAAUACUUACAAUGUUGCCAGAUUAACAAGGUUUUAUCAAAUGGUUUUAAUCACAAACCCACACUUUACUGUGGUCAACAGAUAAUUCAGAGACAUAAUAAUCAUCACUACCUCAUCAGACACUCUUUUUUUUCCCUCAUUGACGUCUUUUCAUCAUUUUAAGCUCCACUGUAACACUGUUACAUAACUGUAGUUUUUGGGGGGUUUUGUGAGAAAUGGGGCAACAUUAGACACACAUCUGUUUUAAUGUAUAUACUUUGAUUUACUUUACUUAAGUCUUCUUUUAUGGGCAUCAACUCAAGCGAGAAGAUAACAGACAUUUUAACAGUGACUUUAUGCAGA